UAUUUUUGUUACUACAUUGGUGUUGGUCAGGUUGUGUUUUAUUGAUGAAAUGUGAUUUUUUUUAAGCAGGAUAAUGAUCUAAUGCAGACCAGACGCUUUUUGAUAGAACAUUCCCAAAACCCUGAUCGAAAGCCUAUAGAGCUUCUAUCUGAUGCAAUAGAGAAGACAUUGUAGAUUAUUAUGCUUUAUUAUAAACAGAAUGAAAGUUUUGUAGGUUGGAGAAAAAUUCCACUGUAUCUGUUACAGAAAACAUGAUUCUGUGUUAAGAUGUCAUAUCAAAGUUGAGUGACAAAAAGGAAUGUUCACCAAAUAAUAAACAUUAUUGUGCAAUGAGGGGUGAAAAGCUUGUGAAAUCUGAUUUCCAAAUAACAGCAUGGACAAACACAAACACACUUGGUACUUGGAAGUGUGGUGUAAGACUCAGCACCACCCUUUUAUUUGGUAUAAAUACGAGAGCAUGAAGCUUCUGUCUCAUCCACAAACUUGCAUCCUUCACAAGACGUCUUGAGAAGUUUGAGAAGACAUUUCUUGCUACCUGCUUCAUCAGUUCCUUGUUAAGAACAAGAUGUUCAGUAUUGUUCAAGUUGGUGGAAAUGGAGGAGAACCUUUCAAUUUUAAUGGCCUGCAAAAUCGAUCCUUGUUGAAAAAGAUCCAGGUUUGGGAAGGUGAUUCUCAGAUAAAAGCUGUGAAGGUGGAACUUGCUGAUAAGCGGAUAGCACAGUUUGGUAUUCCUUCUGGGGAACUGCAAGAGUUUACCUUUAACCAAGAUGAGAUAUUCGACUCCCUUUCACUUUCGCCAAAUCAAGAGGGUACUCAUCUGGGUGCCAUCAAAUUCAGUACAAAUACUGGGAAGCAGUUCUUUGCAAGCAUGAAAAGUGGUAAGCUGAAGCCAGAAGUACAAGUUGAUGUUGCCUCUGGGAAAUGCAUUGGAAUCCAAGGACGUUCUUCAUCUGGCAUUGAUCGCUUUGGCUUCAUGAUGCUCAACUAGUGAUACCAAUGUGGUGUAUCCCACCAUUUCUAUAGUCCCACCCAAAGUGACUAAUCACCCAAAUCUCAUAUAUUAAAUCAUUUGAAUCAAUAAUGUUUGUGUUUGAGGUUAUCUUAGUUUGAUUGUUUUUCAUAUUUGCUUUUCAUAAUCGAUUCUUUUGGUUGAUUUUUUUUUCCAAACCUGUUAACCAAUAAAAAAAUUGAUUUGAUUUAUUUUGCUGGUUCAGACAAUUUAUUCUGCUAGUCUACCAGUGGUGCAAGACUAAAACAUCUCAUUUUGUUAUUUUUUUUAGCUCUAGUUUGACUCUAGCUUUGUGUAACACUUUGUUUCUUUUCUUUUGACAUUUUCAGAUUAUAAUCUGUUAUAAUUUCCAUCAAUAAAAUCAGUCUCAAUUGAAA